GAUGAACGCUGGCGGCGUGCUUAACACAUGCAAGUCGAGCGAGAAACUACUUAAUGAAUCUUCGGAUGAUUUAAGUAGUGGAAAGCGGCGGACGGGUGAGUAACGCGUGGGUAACCUGCCCUAUGCAGGGGGAUAACACACUGAAAAGUGUGCUAAUACCGCAUAAGACCACAACAUCACAUGAUGUAGGGGUAAAAACUCCGGUGGCAUAGGAUGGACCCGCGUCUGAUUAGCUAGUAGGUAAGGUAACGGCUUACCUAGGCGACGAUCAGUAGCCGACCUGAGAGGGUGAUCGGCCACAUUGGGACUGAGACACGGCCCAA
rnacentral:rRNA from 1 species